AGAUGAGAGAUACACCCCGCCCACAGGGGACUGUGGGCGACAACAGGUCGGAGCCUCCCCAGCCGAGACCUGGCCGUGCCCUCGCGCACACACCCGGAGUCUCCGGCUCCGGUUCUCCUCACCGAUCGGA
rnacentral:ncRNA from 1 species